GACUGGAUAGCUCAGCUGGUUAGAGUGUGGUGCUGAUAAUGCCAAGGUUGCAGGUUCGAUCCCUGUACAAGGAUGCA